AGAGAGAUGUGGUUGCCCGUAUGAAAGACAUGGGUAGUGAGAUGGGUAAGUAGGAUCUACAUCUCACUACCUUGUCUUUCAUGCGGACCCAUGUCCAA
rnacentral:pre_miRNA from 1 species